UAACCCUAGCGUCGCAGACACGUUUUCUUUAAAAAAAUCGACAUCAAACACCAAUUUCACAUCUUCAUUAGAGGUACGAUUAUGUUCUAUCAUUUACCAGAUUGUCAUCGAUAUAUCAUUUACCAGAUUUUCACUCUCAAAACCCUAAAUCCCAAUCUAAAGAAACUGAGCAUAAGGUAUGAUGUUGUGUUCUAAAACACUGUCCCUCAUUCGGCAAACCCUAAUACACCAAUCAAUCUGCCCGGCGAUUCUUCUCCGUUAAGCCCUGGUAUACAAACCCUAAUUAUAUCGAUUCAGCUGCUCUGUGUUAUCUCUUCUCAUCAUUCAUCCAUCUAUGAAUCAUCGGAUCUUUACAUCCGAUUUCAACAGAUUUAAAAAGUUGAUGAAACAUUCGUACCUUCAAGCAGCACCAAAUUGGGCAAAAUUGUGAUAUCCACAACCAUAUGGUACCCACUUGGUGCACGUAUGUCGAUCUCUUCGUCUCGAAGGUGGUUUUUAUAAUCCUCUAAUCGAUUUGAUGUUGAAUGUUCAUUUGUAAGGUAUGUUUCAUUAUCAUUUAACAUCCUAUUUUUUGAAUCCUCUAUUUUUAUUUACAGAUUAGGGUUCUCUUUAGGCAUCCAUUUUAGAUUAGGGUUCUUUUUGGGUUUGGAUUGUGUCUCUGUUACGCAUCCGUUUUUUGCAACUAAAUCUACCACCUUAUCUUUGUUGAUUUGAACUUUGCUUCUGUAAACAUCCUGAUCUGUUUAGACUCAUAUAAGGUUAAUUCAAAAACCUUUUGAGAUAAAAGAUCAUUAUGUUGUACUUUAUAUCUUUUGCAUUUACUGGUAUGGACUCAGUUUAUAUAAACCAUUCGAUUUUGUUUAAAUUCACCAAAAUUAAAAAAA
rnacentral:lncRNA from 1 species